rnacentral:rRNA from 1 species
AAUUUUGGACAAUGGGGGCAACCCUGACCCAGCCAUCCCGUGUGUGCUAUGAAUGCAUUCGGGUUGUAAAGCACUUUUGGCAGGGAAGAAAAGGCUCUGGCUAAUACCUGGAGCUGCUGACGGUACCUGCAGAUUAAGCACCGGCUAACUACGUGCCAUAAGCCGCGGUAAUACGUAGGCUGCAAGCGUUAAGCGGAAUUACUGGGCGUAAAGCGUGCGCAGGCGGUACGGAAAGAAGAAUGUGAAAUCCCAGGGCUUAACCUUGGAACUGCAUUCUUAACUGCCGGGCUAGAGUAUGUCAGAGGGGGGUAGAAUUCCGCGUGUAGCAGUGAAAUGCGUAGAGAUGCGGAGGAAUACCGAUGGCGAAGGCAGCCCCCUGGGAUAAUACUGACGCUCAUGCACGAAAGCGUGGGGAGCAAAC